CCUACGGGAGGCAGCAGUGAGGAAUAUUGGUCAAUGGGCGGAAGCCUGAACCAGCCAAGUAGCGUGCAGGAUGACGGCCCUACGGUUUGUAAACUGCUUUUAUACGGGAAUAACGCGCCUUACGUGUAGGGCUUUGCAUGUACCGUAUGAAUAAGGAUCGGCUAAUUCCGUGCCAGCAGCCGCGGUAAUACGGAAGGUCCGGGCGUUAUCCGGAUUUAUUGGGUUUAAAGGGAGCGUAGGCCGCAUUUUAAGCCUGCUGUGAAAUGUCCGGGCUCAACCCGGGCAUUGCAGUGGAAACUGGGGUGCUUGAGUCCGCGGAAGGCAGGCGGAAUUCGUGGUGUAGCGGUGAAAUGCUUAGAUAUGACGAAGAACCCCGAUUGCGAAGGCAGCUUGCUGCGGCGGAACUGACGCUGAUGCUCGAAAGCGCGGGUAUCGAACAGGAUUAGAUACCCCAGUAGUC
rnacentral:rRNA from 1 species